GAUGGGAUGACCGAGUGGUUAAGGUGGCAGUUUAGAAAGCUGCUUCACUUUGUGAGCGUGAGUUCAAAUCUCACUUCCGUCG
rnacentral:tRNA from 1 species